CUGCUGAACUUCUUCGGGCUGCAGGUCAGCGCUUCCUGCUGCAGCCAAUGUGAGUGGCCGUCAACCUUGUUGCACUUCAUGUGCGGGCAGUCUGUUUGUCCACUACUGUGGUGCGCACCUCGCACACUUGGUUGAACGCGCCGCUCGCUUUGGUCGAGUUCUUGGAACACGGCCCGCGCACGCGUGCGAACCUCGUCACGAUGCCUUGUACCUGUGGGCUGCCAUACAUCGACGUGUGACCACGGCAGUCAUCUGAGCACCGGCACGUGAUUCUAUCGUUCAGCCUUUUCUUCAAGUCCCGCCGACCUUCCAGGAGGAGUCCAUGGAGCACCGCACUUUAUUUUGGACAUG